rnacentral:rRNA from 1 species
UACAGAGGGUGCGAGCGUUAAUCGGAAUUACUGGGCGUAAAGGGUGCGUAGGUGGUUAAUUAAGUUAGAUGUGAAAUCCCUGGGCUUAACCUAGGAAUUGCAUUUAAGACUGAUUGGCUAGAGUUUGAGAGAGGGAAGUGGAAUUUCCGGUGUAGCGGUGAAAUGCGUAGAUAUCGGAAGGAACACCAGUGGCGAAGGCGGCUUCCUGGCUCGAUACUGACACUGAGGCACGAAAGCGUGGGGAGCAAAC